UCCGAAAAUAUAUAAUGUACUCACUCUCCCAUAGCCCAGGGUGGACAGCAGCACAGUGGCGGUAGAUGUUUUUGCUGAUCUUUGGCUUCUAUGAUUAACACCAGAUUUGGAUACCGAUUGGUCAGAUGGAGCACCUUAGAGAUUAUGGCUACUUCAUGACAGUGCUGCCUGAAUCAUCCUGACAUAUUUUGCUAUAUUUGUGGAGAGUACACCCUGGAAGCAAGUAGGAAACUUUAAUGACCACAUUUCAAAGAAUCAAUGAGUCUUGCGCCUGGUCUUCAUUUGGUCUUGUGAAAAAUUUACCUGGCAACAAGAAGGCAGACAACUAUACUCAAUUAGUAGAGGAGAUGCUCUCUCAUUUUAACAGGCUUGGCUGUAAACUGAGUAUUAAAAUCCAUUAUCUACACAGUCACUUAAGUCACCAAGGUUUUCUGCAAAUUGAUCUAAGUGAAGUGCAAUAUGAUGACAGAUUACUGUUGGAACCUUAUGUGGGAUUGUCCUAGCAGAUCCCACUCUCAGGAAUCUUACAAAAGGAGCUUCUUCUGUAUCGAAUGACUGAAAUAUUUGUAUCAACCUGUGCUUUUGGUUUGUAAGAAGCAGAUUUAGUAUAUUUCACUUUUCUUUUAAAUUUUAUUGUGUUUCUUUUGUGCUAUACAGAGCUUAAAUAAAAUUUAAAAUUUCCUGAUUUUUGACAGGCAACCAGAGUGAAGAGUGGUAUGUGGCAUUUAUGCUGUAUCUCAAAAACUUGAGCUGAUAGGGGAAAAAUGGUUCAGUUUUGGAAUCAGUUUUGGAAUCAGUGGUCAAAUAUACCCAAGAACAGGCCUAAAAUUCAAGGCACCAAAAUCUGUGUUGGCCAGUAUGCAUAUGCAUACCUUUUUCAUGUACAUCAUAUGUUGCUGUCCAAUGAACUGUGAUGCUCUCUGGCUUCUUUUACAUUAAUAAAAAUUAUUUCACCCCAAAAACA